GAUGAACGCUGGCGGCGUGCCUAAUACAUGCAAGUCGAGCGAACGGAUGAGAAGCUUGCUCUUCUGACGUUAGCGGCGGACGGGUGAGUAACACGUGGAUAACCUACCUAUAAGACUGGGAUAACUUCGGGAAACCGGAGCUAAUACCGGAUAAUAUAUUGAACCGCAUGGUUCAAUAGUGAAAGACGGUUUUGCUGUCACUUAUAGAUGGAUCCGCGCCGCAUUAGCUAGUUGGUAAGGUAACGGCUUACCAAGGCAACGAUGCAUAGCCGACCUGAGAGGGGAACGGGCAACCCGGAACCGAGGAACGGGCCCGAACUCCAAGGGGAGCCACAGGUGGGAAACUUCCGGCAUGGGGCGAAGGCUGAACGAGGAACCGCGGGGUGAGUAUUAAGGGUCUUCGAAUCGUAAACCUCGUUAAUUAGGAAGAACCAUAUGUGUAGUAACCAGGGACGUUUUGACGGGACCCAAACAAAAAGGCCCGGCUAACUUCGUG
rnacentral:rRNA from 1 species